GUCUGCAGCCAUAUCAUCCUGAACGCGCCUGAUCUCGUCUGAUCUCUGCAGCUAAGCAGGGUCGGACCUGAUUAGUCCUUGGAUGAGAGAGAUGCAGUGGAAGUGAAAAGCCUGAUGACAGACU
rnacentral:rRNA from 1 species